UCCAUGGUGGUCCAGUAGUUAAGACGCUGUGCUUCCAAUGCAGGGGGCCUGAGUUCAAUCCCUGGUCAGGGAA
rnacentral:tRNA from 1 species